CCCUUUACUACGGAAUAACGCAUGGAAACGUGUGCUAAUACCGUAUGUGCCCUUUGGGGGAAAGAUUUAUCGGUAAAGGAUCGGCCCGCGUUGGAUUAGCUAGUUGGUGGGGUAAAGGCCUACCAAGGCGACGAUCCAUAGCUGGUCUGAGAGGAUGAUCAGCCACAUUGGGACUGAGACACGGCCCAAACUCCUACGGGAGGCAGCAGUGGGGAAUAUUGGACAAUGGGCGCAAGCCUGAUCCAGCCAUGCCGCGUGAGUGAUGAAGGCCCUAGGGUUGUAAAGCUCUUUCACCGGUGAAGAUAAUGACGGUAACCGGAGAAGAAGCCCCGGCUAACUUCGUGCCAGCAGCCGCGGUAAUACGAAGGGGGCUAGCGUUGUUCGGAUUUACUGGGCGUAAAGCGCACGUAGGCGGAUCGAUCAGUCAGGGGUGAAAUCCCAGAGCUCAACUCUGGAACUGCCUUUGAUACUGUCGAUCUGGAGUAUGGAAGAGGUGAGUGGAAUUCCGAGUGUAGAGGUGAAAUUCGUAGAUAUUCGGAGGAACACCAGUGGCGAAGGCGGCUCACUGGUCCAUUACUGAC
rnacentral:rRNA from 1 species